UACGUAGGGUGCAAGCGUUUGUCCGGAAUUAUUGGGCGUAAAGAGCUCGUAGGCGGUUUUGUUGCGUCGGCUGUGAAAUCCCGAGGCUCAACCUCGGGUCUGCAGUCGAUACGAGCAAACUAGAGUGUUGCAGGGGGAGACUGGAAUUCCUGGUGUAGCGGUGAAAUGCGCAGAUAUCAGGAGGAACACCGGUGGCGAAGGCGGGGUCUCUGGGGCAACAACUGACGCUGAGGAGCGAAAAGCGUGGGGGAGCGAAACAGGG
rnacentral:rRNA from 1 species